rnacentral:rRNA from 1 species
AUUGAACGCUGGCGGCAUGCCUUACACAUGCAAGUCGAACGGUAACGGGCCUUCGGGUGCCGACGAGUGGCGAACGGGUGAGUAAUGUAUCGGAACGUACCUUUCAGUGGGGGAUAACGUAGCGAAAGUUACGCUAAUACCGCAUAUUCUGUGAGCAAGAAAGCAGGGGAUCGCAAGACCUUGCGCUGAUUGAGCGGCCGAUAUCAGAUUAGCGCGUUGGUGAGGUAAAGGCUCACCAAGGCGACGAUCUGUAGCGGGUCUGAGAGGAUGAUCCGCCACACUGGAACUGAGACACGGUCCAGACUCCUACGGGAGGCAGCAGUGGGGAAUUUUGGACAAUGGGGGCAACCCUGAUCCAGCCAUGCCGCGUGAGUGAAGAAGGCCUUCGGGUUGUAAAGCUCUUUCGGCCGGGAAGAAAUCGUAUCAGCUAAUACCUGGUGCGGAUGACGGUACCGGCAUAAGAAGCACCGGCUAACUACGUGCCAGCCGCCGCAGUAAAAC